CCUACGGGAGGCAGCAGUAGGGAAUAUUGCUCAAUGGGGGAAACCCUGAAGCAGCAACGCCGCGUGGAGGAUGAAGGUUUUCGGAUUGUAAAAUCCUUUUGUUAGAGAAGAUAAUGACGGUAUCUAACGAAUAAGCACCGGCUAACUCCGUGCCAGCAGCCGCGGUAAUACGGAGGGUGCAAGCGUUACUCGGAAUCACUGGGCGUAAAGGGCGCGUAGGCGGGAUAGCAAGUCAGAUGUGAAAUCCUAUGGCUUAACCAUAGAACUGCAGUUGAAACUGUUAUUCUAGAGUAUGGGAGAGGUAGGUGGAAUGCGUGGUGUAGCGGUAAAAUCCGUAGAGAUCAAGAAGAAUACUCAUUGCGAAGGCGACCUGCUAGAACAUAACUGACGCUGAUGCGCGAAAGCGUGGGGAGCAAACAGGAUUAGAUACCCCAGUAGUC
rnacentral:rRNA from 1 species